UCUUUUCUUUAGCAUUUACUACAACUCCAGUUUUCCUUGACAGCAACACUGAAAGGACUAAGACAAUGGCUCUUCCAAAGGAAGAAGGAUUAACCUGUCCUGGCUAUCCUGGCUGUCACCUACAUUCCAGGAUGAAGAAAUAUGGUGAUAUACUCAGGCCACUGGAAUGGACUCCAGGACAGCAAUCGUGUUCUGCUUGUAUGCCCCCGGGGAAACAAUAAUGCCAGCUGCUUAUGUCUAGAAAAGGACAUGACUUUGAUAAAUGAAAAGAAAGUUCAUGCUUUCACCAUAAGGUCAUGCUUUAGAACACUGAGCAAAGUAGCUUCCUACAAAAACACCCUGAGGAUUUGUCAAAGACCUUCUUGUACUUCCAGAGACUUCAUGCUUCCAAUAUAUCUGGCUGGUCAUGAAAGUGCCUUGGUUAAUGUAUAGUUUAAAACAUGUCCAGUUGAAUCAGAU
rnacentral:lncRNA from 1 species